rnacentral:rRNA from 1 species
GAAACUGGGUCUAAUACUGGAUAUGACCCUUCUCCUUAUGGGGUUUGGUGGAAAGUUUUUCGGUGUAGGAUGAGCCCGCGGCCUAUCAGCUUGUUGGUGGGGUGAUGGCCUACCAAGGCGACGACGGGUAGCCGGCCUGAGAGGGUGAUCGGCCACAUUGGGACUGAGAUACGGCCCAG